AGCAGCCGCGGUAAUUCCAGCUCCAAUAGCGUAUAUUAAAGUUGUUGCAGUUAAAAAGCUCGUAGUUGAAUUUCGGGAUCAAAGGAUCGGUCAUGCCUUGGUAUGUACUGGUUUUAUUGGUUCUCACCUUCUAAAGAACCAUAAUGUCAUUCAUUUGAUGUUAUGGGGAAUUAGGACUGUUACCUUGAAAAAUUAGAGUGUUUAAAGCAGGCUUACGCUUGAAUACAUUAGCAUGGAAUAAUGAAAUAGGACAUCAGAUUCUAUUUUGUUGGUUUCUAGGAUCGAUGUAAUGAUUAAUAGGGAUAGUUGGGGGCAUUAGUAUUCAAUUGUCAGAGGUGAAAUUCUUGGAUUUAUUGAAGACUAACUACUGCGAAAGCAUUUGCCAAGGAUGUUUUCAUUAAUCAAGAACGAAAGUUAGGGGAUCGAAGACGAUCAGAUACCGUCGUAGUCUUAACCAUAAACUAUGCCGAC
rnacentral:misc_RNA from 1 species